CGCCAAAGGAAUUUACUUCACUGCAGACGCUGACGAUCACUCCUGCUGAUCAUCCCAGGUCUCACUGUGUAAGGAGAACCUGAACCUGAGAUCCUGUGUAUGACUAAAUGGAUGCUGCUGAUGGAGACCUGACUUCACCACCACCUUGGCUGCCAUCUUCACAUCUUGCUAUACAUUCACAGUUGAAUCAGGAGGAAACAAUGACAUCGCUGCAGUCUGUUCAGAAGUAGCUGUCAUCCAAUUUGCUGAAGAGCACAAAGCAGCAGUGGAGGAUCAAAGUGAAAUCACCCGGCGGCUCCAGACCUGCAUCCAUUGUAAAUAAUUGUCAUUUAAAGAGUUGGUUCUGUACUCAUUUAUUGAAAUUUAAAUGUGGUUUGAAAGUUUACAGCAUUAUAUGAAUAACUGUAAUCUAAUUUACUGCAAAAUGUCUGGUGCUGUA